rnacentral:rRNA from 1 species
GACGAACGCUGGCGGCGUGCUUAACACAUGCAAGUCGAACGGAAAGGCCCUGCUUUUGUGGGGUGCUCGAUUGGCGAACGGGUGAGUAACACGUGAGUAACCUGCCCUUGACUUUCUGAUAACUUCAGGAAACUCGGGCUAAUACCCGAUAGGAGCUCCUGCUCCAUGGGGGGGGUUGGAAAGUUUCGGCGGUUCGGGCUAGACUCGAGGGUUAUCCGCUUCUUGGUCGGGUAGUUGCUUACCAGGGCUGUGACGGAUAGGCGGCCUGAGAGGGUUGCCGGCGACCUUGCGCCUGAGGGACGGACCAGAAUCCUACGGGAGGCAGCAGUGGAGAACAUUGCACAAUGGGCGGAAGCGUGAUGUAGCAACGCUGCGUGCGGGAUGACGGCCUUCGGGUUGUAAACCGCUGUCGCCUGUGACGAAGCGUGAGUGACGGUAAUGGGUAAAGAAGCACCGGCUAACUACGUG